rnacentral:rRNA from 1 species
CUAUCAUAUUUUGGAACCUUUGAUUUUGUGUUCUAUUUGCACAUGAUGUUCCAUAUAUUAGGGAGUGCCAACACUCUGUCACAAGCAUUGCAACAAAAGGAUCAAGAUAUAUUGAAUGCAAUGUCAUGUGUGAAGUCAACAAGGAAUGAUCUACAACAACUAAGAGAUAAUGGGUGGGAAUCACUUUUGGAGAAGGUAUAUUCAUUCUGUGAAGAACAUGACAUUCCAAAGCUAAACAUGCAUGAUGAAUAUGUCAAUCGGCAUAAUACACGAAAAAGAACCAAUAUAACAAACCUGCAUCAUUAUCAAAUAGAGUGUCUUAACACUGUUAUUGAUUGGCAACUUCCAGAGUUUGAUGACAGAUUCAAUGAAGUAAAUUCUGCAUUGCUUAUUCACAUGGUUUCUUUCAACCCAAGAAACUCUUUCGAUGCUUUUAACUUGGAGAGUUUGUUGAAGCUCGCUGAGUUCCUGAGGAUUUUGAUUCAUCAAAAUUGA